AACGAACGCUGGCGGCAGGCCUAACACAUGCAAGUCGAACGGGAUCUUCGGAUCUAGUGGCGGACGGGUGAGUAACGCGUGGGAACGUGCCCUUUGGUUCGGAAUAGCCUCGGGAAACUGGGAGUAAUACCGGAUACGCCCUUCGGGGGAAAGAUUUAUCGCCAAAGGAUCGGCCCGCGUUGGAUUAGGUAGUUGGUGGGGUAACGGCCUACCAAGCCGACGAUCCAUAGCUGGUUUGAGAGGAUGAUCAGCCACACUGGGACUGAGACACGGCCCAGACUCCUACGGGAGGCAGCAGUGGGGAAUCUUAGACAAUGGGGGCAACCCUGAUCUAGCCAUGCCGCGUGAUCGAUGAAGGCCUUAGGGUUGUAAAGAUCUUUCAGCUGGGAAGAUAAUGACUGUACCAGCAGAAGAAGCCCCGGCUAACUCCGUGCCAGCCGCCGCUGUAA
rnacentral:rRNA from 1 species